rnacentral:rRNA from 1 species
GACGAACGCUGGCGGCGUGCUUAACACAUGCAAGUCGAACGGAAAGGCCCUGCUUUUGUGGGGUGCUCGAGUGGCGAACGGGUGAGUAACACGUGAGUAACCUGCCCUUGACUUUGGGAUAACUUCAGGAAACUGGGGCUAAUACCGGAUAGGAGCUCCUGCUGCAUGGUGGGGGUUGGAAAGUUUCGGCGGUUGGGGAUGGACUCGCGGCUUAUCAGCUUGUUGGUGGGGUAGUGGCUUACCAAGGCUUUGACGGGUAGCCGGCCUGAGAGGGUGACCGGCCACAUUGGGACUGAGAUACGGCCCAGACUCCUACGGGGGGCAGGAGUGGGGAAUAUUGCACAAGGGGCGGAAGCCUGAUGCAGAAACGCCGCGGGCGGGAGGACGGCCUUCGGGUUGUAAACCGCUUUCCCCUGGGCCGAAGCGUGAGUGGCGGUAAUGGGUAAAGAAGCACCGGCUAACUCCGU